rnacentral:lncRNA from 1 species
UUCUGGCACGGCGGCUCUGCCGUGCUCCGGUGACAGCGCCGCUGCCCGCGGCGGUGAUCCGCUUCGAUUGGCUAUUUUCGGCCGAAUUCAGCCAAACUUGCAUCAAUUCCUGUGAGAAAACACACUUAGGGCCCUCGGUGGGUCGGAAAAACGUAGAAAACUGAAACUCACCACCGGUGGGGCUCUCCGGUACAGCGGCUCCUCUGGCUCAU